ACAUACAUAUGUAUUGCUAUGCAAUUGGACUUUUAGACAAUCAGAAUUUCGAAGAAUGGAAAAAAAGCACUUCAUAAACACAAAAAAUGGGAAAUACCAUGCAACCUUUGGAACAGGUCAGGAAUUCCGCCGAUGCAAGCUGGAACAGCGGAAGGAUAUUCGCCUCGAAGGACCAAUGUUCAUGGAGGGGCGGAAGGAUCCAAAUA